CCUUUGUCCUGGGUUGGGAACCCCCCUUUUUAAAAUGGCUGGAUCCACCCCUGGACCUUAAAAGAGUUUGUUAUUAUAUGAACAAAAACAAAUAUUUUUUGUAGAAGACUUGAGUUUGUUACUGUACUAUUCUGUGAUUUGUUAAAUGAUAAUUUUGUUUGUUUUUUGUUGACAUUUUGUACAAAUAUUGUCUAUUUGUUUGUUAAUACUGUAUCAUAUGUUUGUAUAGUGCUUACGUUCAUGACAAAGUAUGAUUUAUUUAUCCCGGUUUGUAAGAGGCAAUUUCUCAAUUUAUAUACAACAUGAAAUACAGUGAAUAUAGGCUUUUUGAAAAAUUUAGGAUUUUCUUAUCCCAGGCAUAGAUUACCUUAGCUGUAUUUGGCACAACGUUUUGGAAUUUUAGAUCCUCAAUGCUCUUUAACUUUGUACUUGUUUGGCUUCAUAGAUAUUUUGAUGUGAGUGUCACUGAUGAGUCUUAUGUAGACGAAACGAGUGUAAUUAAAUUAUAAUUCGGGUACCUUUGAUAACUCUUUUGAACUGUUUAAUGUUUUACAAUGGGUUUUAUAUCAAAGCCAAACCCACAUAAGUGGCUCUAUCAUAUUGUAUGGAAUUUCUUUUAAAAGUACCAACAAAAACAAUAUUUUUUUAAGAAAUGAAUGCUGCGCCAUAAGUGCUGGCCACUUCCCCAAAUAUUUUCCUAAGAAAAUGUAUAACUUAGCUGUAUUUCAGAUUUGAUACAAAGUUUUCAUUAUAUUUUAGAUAAUUAUAGAUUAUCGCUGAUCAUCUCAACGAGAUUGAUUUUCUCACUUGAGCCAGUAUGGAGAAAGUGAGAAAGGCAAUCCAGUUGACAUGACCAAUGAUAAUCUGUUUAUUGCUAUUUUACCUAUGACGACGUUGUCAAUUUCAUUAGCAAUGCCACAUGCUUCCUUAGUUUCUAGCGAUAAUUUUCUAUCUCAAGCGAGUAGCAUGAUAUGAAAAAUUAUCACAAAAAAAGAUCAAAGGAAAAAUGUAUGACUUCGAUAAAAAAUUAAGUGUUGAUCAAAUACAGUCUGUGGUUACCAUGGUUACAUUUAACAAUAAAAAUUAAUCUAAACCAAAUUCGCUUUAAACGUUUAACAAGAAUUAUUUGAAAUAUUGUCAAUUACAUGUAAAUGUUAUCUGAAUAAAAAAAUUUACUACCUUCAAUAAAUAGACAAUACAUAUAAACACCACUGUACAUAUUGUACAAACACAUUUAAUUUCCAUGAAUAUCAAUAUGUUUCCUGCUAAAAUAAUCUAAAUUAUAAAAAAUAACAAAAUUUGCUAAAAACUAGAGAUUCUUCACUAUUUAUUAAAAGCAUAUCAGUUUGAUUGCAUAAUUUACCAUUUAAAAAAGCUAUGAAAAUUUAAUAACCCUUGGGAAAUUUUCAGUUACUGCAGACAAAUUGAUUUUCAGGACUUUCACAAGUAGAAAAUAUAUAUAAGAAUAUGAAACAUUGUAAGUAUGUCAAAUUUCAGUAUUCAUUUCUGUGAAUACACAUACAAAGUAAAGAAAUUAUCUCCCUGCAAUAUCUUUUGAUACCUGAAACAUGUUUUCAAAACCUAAAUAGCAAAAUAAAUAUUAAAAUUUACAAGAGACCAAAGAAAAAUAUCAAAUGUAUUUCUUCAUUUUCAGUUUGGACCUGCCUAUAUCUCCUAUUAUAUUUAAAUUUUUAAAGAUUAGUGUUUUAAAUAUAACACCCCCUACCCCUCCUCCAAAAACAAAUUGACAACAAAUUAAACAAACCAAUUUCAAAUCAAGAUCAGAACUAAUGUUGUAUGACCUGAUGAAUAUUCAUGAUUGUCUUGUGUUCGUUUUCUGGCCUAAUGAAUAUUCAUGAUUGUCUUGUCUGGCCUGAUGAAUAUUCAUGUACUGUAUUGUGUUCAACAAUUAUAAAAUGUUCUGCUACCACUGCUGUCUGUCAUAUGUAUGUUUCUAUAUUUUUAUAGAAAGCUUUUUUUUUUAAUGAAUUUGUAAAUAAAAUCAUAUUUCAUGGUUUAGAGCUAAUUUCCUAAUGCAUGUAGAGUAAAACUUUGAUAAACUUGCUUCCUUUGUUUGUAUAUUAUUAGUUUUAUGGUGACCUAAUAAGAUAUAUAUGGGGUAAGUAAAUUUCAUGUUGGGUGAGAAUGAAGUUUGAAUCCCCAUAUGGAAUUUACUGACCCCUUAUAUAUCACUAGCACACCGUGCAAAGAAUAUAUCUUACCUACUAUCUUCACAUGUGUUAUUUUGACUAGUGACCUAUCAAAUUGGUCAAGUCUUUUAUAUACUUAGUAUUGAGAUCCUUCUUCCAUGUGCUAUACAAAGAAAAAAUGCGAAAAAUAACAACUAUUUAGCUUUAAAUUUAUUUUAUGAUGUAUCAUCAAUUUCUUCGUCUGUUGAAUCCUUUCCGAUUUCUUUUUUUUUUGUUUUAAAAGAGAAGUAACUCCGCUAUGCCAACAACUCGUUAGCCUUAUGUUUAAUGGACUUAUUUCAACCUUUCAUCAUCAAUUUCUUUGUCUGUUGAUUCCUUUUAGAUUUUUCCUCAACACUGUGUUGUUUUUAUAAAAGGUUGUGGCAUCUUUUUUGUUUUGAAAUGAAGAAAUUCCAUUCUAAUACCAUGUGGUAACGAACCAUGUAUGAAAACUAACCCUAUAUUUAAUUAUUUUGGGACACACUUAAUAUCAAAUAUACAUAGUCAUCACAUGACGUCCUUUAACCAAUCAUAUCUCUAUAAAUCUAUAGGAGGUAAGAAACUGUAAGAUACAUUCAAUCAAAUUUAAAUAUAAUAGAUACAGGUUUAACUAUUCCUGUCUAUAUUGUUUGCAGAUGUCAAUCUUAAUUGUUAAUGUCUGUGUCAUAUUGGUCUGUUGUGGACAGUUGUCUCAUUGGCAAUCAUACCACAUCUUCUUUUUUAUAUUAAUUACAAUGAUCGAGCUAACGUUCAUACAAACAAAGCAAGUAAGCCAACCAAAGCGUUACUCUUCAAGCUUUAGGAAAUCAGCUCGAAGAAUAGAAUAUAUUUAUCAUAUAUAUACACUCAUAUCUAUAUUUACAUCAGUUUAAUUUUUUUUUUAUCAAAAUAAAUGUAUAUUGUGAUUGUUAAAAGAUGAUAUUGUACAUAAAUGUUAACUUUUUUGAAAAAAAAGUUACUACAGUAAAUAAUUUUUCUUAUAUUAGAAAUUGACUGAUACGGUGAACAUUUUUCGGUACUACUUCUAUUUGUAAAAUGAUUUCAUUACAUUAAAGUGCUGGUACUACAAUAGUGCAAUGGUGAGGUCAGCUGGUCAAAGUCUGUCACUUUCUAUCAAUUCAGAAUUGGUAAAAAAAAGCUUUUGUUACUACAAUUUUGAUUGGACUGUAUCAUAAUUUAUCUCUUUCCAUCAAUGGUAAACAUGGGAUUUCUAUGUAACUGCAAUUUUGAUUGGACUAUAUCAUAAUUGUUUUCUUUCCAUCAAUGGUAAAAAUGGGAUUCCUAUGUAACUGCAAUUUUGAUUGGACUUUACUAUAAUUUUUCUUUUCCAAUUAAUGGUUAAAAUGUGAUUUCUAAGUAACUGCAAUUUUCGGACUUUAUCAUAUUUUUUUCAAGUGGUGAAACUAAGAUUUUAAUGUACCUGUCAAAAUAAAAAAAAUUGAAACCUGAAAUAUCAUGUUUGCUAUGGUUCAUUCAUACCAGGUAAAAAUCAAUUAGUAUGUUCUACUUUGAAUUCAAAAAAGUUAUAUUUUACUUUUUUAGUAAGAUUAAUAUUCUUGAUGCCCUUCCUAGGGGCAUUUUGUUUUUCUGUCUUGUCGUCCAUUUGUUGACUCUCUGUUCUUCCAUCUGUCCUGCUUUAUGUUAAGGUUUUGAUCGCUUCAGGUUAAAGUUGUUGGUCAAUGUACCUGUUGAUGAAGUUAAAGUCCAAUCAACUUGAAACUUAGUACGCAUGUUCCAUAUGAUAUGAUCUUUCUAAUUUUAAUGCCAAAUUAGAGUUUUGACCCACAUUUCAAGGUCCUUUGAACAUAGAAAACGUUAGUGCAGACAUAUUCUUGAUUUUUUGUAAUUCAGUCAAGAAUGUGACAGACUUUGAUUUUUUUCCUUUAGUUAAUUUUAAUCAUGUGAUUUUGUAUGAAAAAAGUCACAUGGGAUUAUCAUUUGUUUUGUAUCAUGUUUGUGGACAUGUGACAAUUCAGGUUAUUUGUUUACUUCAAAGCCACAUGGAUUGAAUUGUGUGUCUGUCUGUGGAACCUAAAUGUUUUCAGAUUUUAUAAAUUCUUCUUUUAUUAUCAGAAGGUCUUCCUUUAAUGUGUUGAAACCAAAUGAUAUUUUGCAACAAAAUGUAUAAACAAUUUUAACAAUUUAUUAUUGCAUAAAAACAAAACCUUGUUUCGAGUCAUAAGAUCAUUUAUUUUUUGCCUUUUGUAUGUUUUCUUUUCACAGAAGCUGUAUCAUGUGAUCCACAAUUUUAUAUGCUACAUUUGUCAUAUGACCACACUUAUUAUAUAUAGAUAUGUCAUGUGACUAUCACACCUUAAUCAUGUGACAAAUCACUGUACUAUUAUUUAAUAAAUAAAUAUCCUUGACCUAAAGUUGAGGAUGAAAGGUCACAACUGAAGAAUCUUUCUAUUCACCUGGUGAGUAGUCUGUUGUUUUGUGUUGAGAAAACUAGAAAAUCUCCACUGUCGUAACUAGGCUUGUAAGCAAUAAAAACA
rnacentral:lncRNA from 1 species